UACGUAGGGGGCGGGCGUUGUCCGGAUUUAUUGGGCGUAAAGAGCUCGUAGGCGGUUUGGCAAGUCGGGUGUGAAAACUCCGGGCUCAACUCGGAGACGCCACUCGAUACUGCCAUGACUCGAGUCCGGUAGGGGAGUGCGGAAUUCCUGGUGUAGCGGUGAAAUGCGCAGAUAUCAGGAGGAACACCGGUGGCGAAGGCGGCACUCUGGGCCGGUACUGACGCUGAGGAGCGAAAGCGUGGGGAGCGAACAGG
rnacentral:rRNA from 1 species